rnacentral:rRNA from 1 species
UACGUAGGCAGCGAGCGUUGUUCGGAGUUACUGGGCGUAAAGGGUGCGUAGGCGGUUGUUUUAAGUUUGGUGUGAAAUCUCCCGCUCAACUGGGAGGGUGCGCCGAAUACUGAAUGACUAGAGUGCGGGAGAGGAUAGUGGAAUUCCUGGUGUAGCGGUGAAAUGCGUAGAUAUCAGGAGGAACACCGGUGGUGUAGACGGCUAUCUGGACCGUAACUGGACGCUGAGGCACGGAAAGCGUGG